CCCUCCUACAAAGGCGUGUCAGUGGUUUCCUGUCCUCGGACACGUAAGAAUUGGAGGCAAAAAGAUGUGGACUUGGAGAAGUCUGGAGCCCGCUUGCUCCCCGCAGGCUCAAGAUCAUCCUUUCCCACACAG
ensembl:snoRNA